rnacentral:rRNA from 1 species
AUUGAACGCUGGCGGCAGGCCUAACACAUGCAAGUCGAGCGAGCGGCGGACGGGUGAGUAAUGUCUGGGAAACCGCCUGAUGGAGGGGGAUAACUACUGGAAACGGUAGCUAAUACCGCAUACCAUCAGAUGUGCCCAGAUGGGAUUAGCUAGUAGGUGGGGUAACGGCUCACCUAGGCGACGAUCCCUAGCUGGUCUGAGAGGAUGACCAGCCACACGGGAACGGAGACAGGGUCCAGACUCCUAGUGGGGGCAGCAUUGGGAAAUUUGGCACAAUGGGCACAGGCCUGAUGCAUCCAUGCCGCGUGUGUGAAGAAGGCCUUCGGGUGGGAGAGCACUUUCAGCGGGGAGGCGUUACCCGCAGAAGAAGCACCGGCUAACUCCGUGCCAGCAGCCGCGGUAAUUC